GACGAACGCUGGCGGCGUGCCUAAUACAUGCAAGUAGAACGCUGAAGGAGGAGCUUGCUUCUCUGGAUGAGUUGCGAACGGGUGAGUAACGCGUAGGUAACCUGCCUGGUAGCGGGGGAUAACUAUUGGAAACGAUAGCUAAUACCGCAUAAUAGUAGAUGUCGCAUGACAUUUGCUUAAAAGGUGCAAUUGCAUCACUACCAGAUGGACCUGCGUUGUAUUAGCUAGUUGGUGAGGUAACGGCUCACCAAGGCAACGAUACAUAGCCGACCUGAGAGGGUGAUCGGCCACACUGGGACUGAGACACGGCCCAGACUUCUACGGGAGGCAGCAGUAGGGAAUCUUCGGCAAUGGACGGAAGUCUGACCGAGCAACGCCGCGGGAGUGAAGAAGGGUUUCGGAUCGUAAAGCUCUGUUGUAAGAGAAGAACGAGUGUGAGAGUGGAAAGUUCACACUGUGACGGUAGCUUACCAGAAAGGGACGGCUAACUACGUG
rnacentral:rRNA from 1 species